ensembl:lncRNA
UGCAGACAGCUUUUCAGUAUGCUCUUGUACUAUUCUGUUGAGACCUUGAGAGAAGGAGCUGUGAAAAAGGUCGGCCGCUCAGCACCUUUAUUGAUCUGUGUUCAAUCACAGGGCAGCCCUGGACCGUCUGGACCACGAGGAGAGAAGGGAGAACAGGGACUUCAAGGGCCCCAAGGACCACCAGGAACAGUGGCUGAUAUCCAGGGCCAGCUGAAAGGAGAGAGAGGAGAAAAGGUGAGCGCUUUUUCUGUGCAUGUAGACACUGAGAAUUUAUUUAUUUAUUAUUUUUUUUUUACAAAAUCAAGUAUGUUCGUUUGACCUGUUAAAAUAUCCUAAAUAAACACCAAUAGCUGAAAAAUGUAAGGUAACUGGGUAAAAAAAAGUAUAUAGCAGCAGAUUACAUCACUGUGAUUCCCAGGGUGAUGCUGGUGACCCAGGAGAGCAUGGCGGCAAAGGCACGA